UGCGUAGGUGGUUGUUUAAGUCUGUUGUGAAAGCCCCGGGCUCAACCUGGGAAUGGCAAUGGAUACUGGACAGCUAGAGUGCGGUAGAGGGUAGUGGAAUUCCCGGUGUAGCAGUGAAAUGCGUAGAGAUCGGGAGGAACACCAGUGGCGAAGGCGGCUACCUGGACCAGCACUGACACUGAAGCACGAAAGCGUGGGAGCAAACA
rnacentral:rRNA from 1 species